rnacentral:rRNA from 1 species
GCUGUUUUGGGGAGUCGGUAGGCUCUGGGUCACCUCCCACCCGUGUUUAUUGUACCUUGUUGCUUCGGUGCGCCCGCCUCACGGCCGCCGGGGGGCUUCUGCCCCCGGGCCCGCGCCCACCGAAGACACCAUUGAACUCUGUCUGAAGAUUGCAGUCUGAGCAUAAACUAAAUAAGUUAAAACUUUCAACAACGGAUCUCUUGGUUCCGGCAUCGAUGAAGAACGCAGCGAAAUGCGAUAACUAAUGUGAAUUGCAGAAUUCAGUGAAUCAUCGAGUCUUUGAACGCACAUUGCGCCCCCUGGUAUUCCGGGGGGCAUGCCUGUCCGAGCGUCAUUGCUGCCCUCAAGCACGGCUUGUGUGUUGGGCUCCGUCCCCCCGGGGACGGGCCCGAAAGGCAGCGGCGGCACCGAGUCCGGUCCUCGAGCGUAUGGGGCUUUGUCACCCGCUCUGUAGGCCCGGCCGGCGCCAGCCGACAACCCAUCAUCCUUUUCAGGUUGACCUCGGAUCAGGUAGGGAUACCCGCUGAACUUAAGCAUAUCAAUAAGCGGAGGAAU